rnacentral:tRNA from 1 species
CCCUUGUUAGCUCAGUUGGUGGAGCGCUCCACCUGUAAUGCAGAGGUCCAGUGUUCAAUACCCGGACCAGGCG